UACGGCCACAUCACGUUGAAACACCUGUUCCCGCCCGAUCACCAAAGUUAAGCAACGACGAGCCUGGUCAGUACCUAGAUGUGUAACCAAUUAGGAAUAUCAGGUGCAGUAAU